rnacentral:tRNA from 1 species
UAGAUUGAAGCCAGUUGUUUAGGGUAUUUAGCUGUUAACUAAAUUUUCGUGGGGUUGGAUCCCACCGGUCUAG